AGCUUUUUGGCUAUCUCUUUCAAUGCUUUCACUGCAUAUAUAUAGCCAAAAAUGAACCCAAGGGGAAUUGAAAAACCAGAUAAUAUUUUACAAAGUAGGAAUAUAUAUGUGUAGACAAUAAUUAAACAAGUUUAUAAUUACCUUCUGCUGGAUGGAGCUUGGACUUGGAAUUACUGGCUGCUAAACAGUGAACUGUGAAGAAAACUAGGAAAAAAGAAGAAGAGAAUAUAGAUUUAAGAAGCAUUAUGCUCAUUUUCUAGCUACCUAUAAUUAAAUUGUAAGCAAUACGAAAUACUUGAGAAUUUCAGUACUCCUUUAUGAGCAUAGAAAAAAGAAGAUUGGGUGAAAGUUCAUUUUAUAAGAGUGAAGUGCUGAUGAGGUGGGGGCAUUAUAUAUAUGUAGGAGAUAAGAGAAUUAAUUUGAACAAAGAGGGGAUUGGUUGGUAGUGACAAUUGCGACACCCCUUUCUUGGAUCUUUUUAUUACUCUAGUAUAUUGUAAAUUCUUU
rnacentral:lncRNA from 1 species